CUUCAUUACAUAAAGGAUGCAUCAUGCCAACUGGGCAUCAUUUUAUCACCCCUCAUCACAGACGCAAAGGAGAAAGGCUCUUACUGACAAAGCUUAGAACAGACACAAAAUCCCAAGAACUGUUCAGGAAAAGACAGCUAUAUAUGGGCCUGAAGAUGUAAAACACACUACCAGUGGGCUGUGGAAAAAACCCACAGCUGUUCUUUUUAGUGAGCUUUCCCGACAGUACCACAGUGAAAAUAUUGAAGUACCUCAUUGCAGCUUGAGGAGGAUGAAUUCUGGGCUCACCAUUCAGCAACUACAGGAGAAUAAAAAAUUCAUCUUAAGGAUGUCAAGGAUCUUUGGACAGACAGACAUCUAAAGAAGAAGGGAGAACUGUCUGGAAAAAUUAUCAACAAAAGAAACAAUCUGGCAUGACAGUAUAAUUACUUCUACAGGGUAAAAUCUCUCUACCUCUCAAAAUGUUUGUUGUCUUGACUCAAUUAAAAACUAAAUCUGGCUUUGGAGUUGGAUGUAGUUCUCUCUUUCUCUAAACCCAAGCAUGUUCUUAAAAGAAAAUUCAGAGUCUCUGUCUCAUAUCAGAAAAGCCACCUAGUGUGGGACAGAAGAAAACCAAAAUCUAGGGACUAUUGUCAUAAGCCUCUUACUCCUCAAAUUUAUUUUGACUCUUUAGAACUUUUAUUAGGUAUAACACUGUCUUAAAAGUUAAACUUUCCAUUUUGAUAUUAAUGAUGUUUAAGUUUUCCACAAUGAACAAUAAAUUUUCCUAAGAGUGAUCUCUGAAGUUUCCAAAAGCAUGAUGAGGCCCCACAACAAUGAUUCUACCUGGAUCCCUAUAAUACCAUUAAGCCAAUAAACAUCACCUAAAGAUUGGUUUUGGACUACAAACUGCUCAAGACAAUUCUAAGGUGGCUAGCUGAGAUGGUCCACCCUCUUACACACUCCAGCUGAACUUCAAAUAAGCUUUACUCAUUACUCAGAGACUGGCUACAAAUAUUGCAACUAGUUCUACCAAGACUUAACCAUUGUUACAGUCCUUACUACGUCCCAUAGACACUGUUGCCCCACCCUCCCCAGACAGCAGAAAGUAAUUCUAAGAACACAAUGCCCACAUUCCCUAUAUGUGGGGUGUUUUUUUUUAUUAGGUUUAUAGAUAAUUGUCAUUUGUAGGGGUUGGUAACAAGUUAUUAUAGAGUUGGGGGUGGAACAAUAGAGAUUAAACUCAGGGAUCUCCUUUGUAAUAUAAAAAAGGAGGAUAGACAUGAUAGGAUUAAAAGGCAGACUAUCAGUUUUAAAUAAUUUACAUUGGUAUGGAUU